GACGAACCGUGCGAACGUUGUUCGGAAUCACUGGGCAUAAAGGGCGCGUAGGCGGGCUUUCAAGUCAGGGGUGAAAUCCUCCAGCUCAACUGGAGAACUGCCUUUGAUACUGAAAAUCUAGAGUAAGGUAGGGGCGUGCGGAACUGAUGGUGGAGCGGUGAAAUGUGUUGAUAUCAUCAGGAACUCCGGUGGCGAAAGCGGCACGCUGGACCUUUACUGACGCUGAGGCGCGAAAGCCAGGGGAGCAAACGGG
rnacentral:rRNA from 1 species